rnacentral:rRNA from 1 species
CGCUAGCGACAGGCCUAACACAUGCAAGUCGAGGGGCAGCACAAGGAGCAAUCUGAGGUGGCGACCGGCGCACGGGUGAGUAACACGUAUGCAACCUGCCUGUAAGCGGGGAAUAACCCGUUGAAAGACGGACUAAUACCGCAUAAUACUAAAUUACUGCAUGGUAAUUUAUUUAAACAUUUAUGGCUUACAGAUGGGCAUGCGCAUGAUUAGCUAGUUGGAGAGGUAACGGCUCCCCAAGGCAACGAUCAUUAGGGGUUCUGAGAGGAAGGUCCCCCACACUGGUACUGAGACACGGACCAGACUCCUACGGGAGGCAGCAGUGAGGAAUAUUGGUCAAUGGACGAGAGUCUGAACCAGCCAAGUCGCGUGCAGGAAGAAUGUUCCCUAUGGAUUGUAAACUGCUUUUGCAGGGGAAUAAAGUGCAUCACGUGUGAUGUUUUGUAUGUACUCUGCGAAUAAGGAUCGGCUAACUCCGUGCCAGCCGCCGC